GGACGAACGCUGGCGGCGUGCUUCAUACAUGCAAGUCGAACGAGAAAUCAACUUCGGUUGGUGGAGAGUGGCGGACGGGUGAGUAAUAUGUAGAGAAUCUGCCCUUUAGCGGGGGACAACAGUUGGAAACGACUGCUAAUACCCCAUAUGAGCGUAGCUGAGAUGCUAUUCUUGAAAACUCCGGUGCUAAAGGAUGAGUCUGCAUCUGAUUAGCUAGUUGGCGGUGUAAUGGACCACCAAGGCGACGAUCAGUAGCUGGUUUGAGAGGAUGAUCAGCCACAAUGGGACUGAGACACGGCCCAUACUCCUACGGGAGGCAGCAGUAGGGAAUUUUGCGCAAUGGGGGAAACCCUGACGCCAGCAACGCCGCGUGAUUGAAUAAGCCCUUCGGGGUGUAAAGAUCUGUCAGUAGGGACGAAACUUGACGGUACCUACAGAGGAAGCAUCGGCUAACUCCGUGCCAGCCGCAGC
rnacentral:rRNA from 1 species